rnacentral:rRNA from 1 species
GAUGAACGCUAGCGACAGGCUUAACACAUGCAAGUCGAGGGGCAGCAUAAAAGUAGCAAUACUUUGGUGGCGACCGGCGCACGGGUGAGUAACGCGUAUGCAACCUACCUAUCAGAGGGGAAUAACCCGGCGAAAGUCGGACUAAUACCGCAUAAAACAGGGGCACCGCAUGGUGAUAUUUGUUAAAGAAAUUCGCUGAUAGAUGGGCAUGCGUUCCAUUAGGUAGUUGGUGUGGUAACGGCUCACCAAGCCGACGAUGGAUAGGGGAACUGGGAGGUUGGUCCCCCACACUGGUACUGAGACACGGACCAGACUCCUACGGGAGGCAGCAGUGAGGAAUAUUGGUCAAUGGGCGGGAGCCUGAACCAGCCAAGUCGCGUGAAGGAAGAAGGAUCUAUGGUUCGUAAACUUCUUUUGCAGGGGAAUAAAGUGCGGGACGUGUCCUGUUUUGUAUGUACCCUGAGAAUAAGGAUCGGCUAACUCCGUGCCAGCAGCCGCCGUAACAC